AACAGCUAAAACCUGCUUCUUUAAAUAUGAUUCUGAUUUUAGAUUCAAAAUUUUUCUUUUGAUUUUAGAUUCAAAUUUUAAUUUUAAAUUUUAAAUUUAUAUUCAAUUUUUAAAUUUAAAAUUUUAACUUUUAAAUUUUAAAUUUCAAAAUUUAAAUUUCAAAUUUAGAUGUUAAAUUUCAAAUUUAAAUUUCAAAUCUCAAAUUUUAAAUUUUCAAAUUUUAAAUUUUAAAUUUCAAAUUUAAGAUAAAUUUUAAAUUUCAAAUUUAAAAUUUAAGAUAAAUUUUUAAAUUUUCAAAUUUAAAAUUUAAAUUUAAAUUUUCAAAUUAGAUUUUAUUUUUAAAAUUAAGAAUUUAAAUUUAGAUUUAAAAAUUUACAUUUUAAAUUUUAAAUUUCAAAUUUAGAUUUAUAUUUAAAUUAAAAUUUUAAAUUUAGAUUUAAAUUUAAAUUUAUAUUUCAAAUUAGAAUAUUGAAAAAAAAUUUUGCACAAAAUUUUAAAUUUUAAAAUUUAACAUUUUUUAUUUAAAAUUUUAAUUCAAAUUCAAAUUUUUAAUUUUUUAAAAUAAAAUUUAGUAAAAAAAAUUAUUGUAUGCCAACAUCAAAAAAAUUUGCCAAACAGCUUUAUAAAAUCACUUCAGAAAAAUUUCCUUUUAUCGAACUAAGUUAAACGCUCUACAGCUUUUAACCCAAAUCCAUUCUCCAAACCAAAAUCAAUUAUGCAGAAAUCACGUUUACAGAAUCUAGGCCAAACAGGGCUCAUUACUUAUUACUUUCAGGUUCAAGCUUUCGAAUUUUGUUUCGGGCUUCGAUUUUUUAUCGGGUUUGAUUUUAGUUAUAAAUUUCCAAAAUCAGACAGUUUCUGAUUAAGGUUCGGAUUUUGGUUCAGG
rnacentral:lncRNA from 1 species